rnacentral:rRNA from 1 species
GAGUUUGAUCAUGGCUCAGGACGAACGCUGGCGGCGUGCUUAACACAUGCAAGUCGAACGGUGAUGGCCAGCUUGCUGGUCUGAUCAGUGGCGAACGGGUGAGUAACACGUGAGCAACCUACCCCAGACUCUGGAAUAACCAUGGGAAACGAUGGCUAAUACCGGAUACGAGACGCACACGCAUGUGUGGUGUCUGGAAAGAUUUAUCGGUCUGGGAUGGGCUCGCGGCCUAUCAGCUUGUUGGUGGGGUAGUGGCCUACCAAGGCGACGACGGGUAGCCGGCCUGAGAGGGCGACCGGCCACACUGGGACUGAGAUACGGCCCAGACUCCUACGGGAGGCAGCAGUGGGGAAUAUUGCACAAUGGGCGCAAGCCUGAUGCAGCGACGCCGCGUGAGGGAUGACGGCCUUCGGGUUGUAAACCUCUUUCAGCAGGGAAGAAGCGAAAGUGACGGUACCUGCAGAAGAAGCCCGGCUAACUACGUGCCAGCAGCCGCGGUAAUACGUAGGGCGCAAGCGUUGUCCGGAAUUAUUGGGCGUAAAGAGUUCGUAGGCGGUUUGUCGCGUCUGCUGUGAAAACCUAAGGCUCAACCUUGGGCUUGCAGUGGGUACGGGCAGACUAGAGUGCGGUAGGGGUGACUGGAAUUCCUGGUGUAGCGGUGGAAUGCGCAGAUAUCAGGAGGAACACCGAUGGCGAAGGCAGGUCACUGGGCCGCAACUGACGCUGAGGAGCGAAAGCAUGGGGAGCGAACAGGAUUAGAUACCCUGGUAGUCCAUGCCGUAAACGUUGGGCACUAGGUGUGGGGCUCAUUCCACGAGUUCCGUGCCGCAGCAAACGCAUUAAGUGCCCCGCCUGGGGAGUACGGCCGCAAGGCUAAAACUCAAAGAAAUUGACGGGGGCCCGCACAAGCGGCGGAGCAUGCGGAUUAAUUCGAUGCAACGCGAAGAACCUUACCAAGGCUUGACAUACACCGGAAACUUCCAGAGAUGGUUGCCCCG